rnacentral:rRNA from 1 species
CAGUCUUCAUGCCCUUUAUGUCCAGGGCUACACACGUGCUACAAUGGCCGGUACAAACCGUCGCAAACCCGCGAGGGGGAGCUAAUCGGAAAAAGCCGCCCUCAGUUCGGAUUGUAGUCUGCAACUCGACUACAUGAAGCUGGAAUCGCUAGUAAUCGCGGAUCAGAACGCCGCGGUGAAUACGUUCCCGGGCCUUGUACACACCGCCCGUCACAUCACGAAAGUGGGCUGUACUAGAAGUCGGUGGGCUAACCGCAAGGGAGCAGCCGCCCAAGGUAUAACUCAUGAUUGGGGUGAAGUCGUAACAAGUACCAAGGGCG